rnacentral:lncRNA from 1 species
AAAUUUCCCUGAAUUUCACUAGUGCAUUUAUGUAACAUUCUCCUCUGAAGAAGAGAACCUAAUAUACUGGAUCCUCUGACAUUCUACCGUACAGCAGAUAUCAAAAUAGAACCAGUACAUUUUUUUCUGCAUAAAAAAUAUUAUAAGCAAUCUUGGCUUUACCUUAGGUUAUGGCCUAAUAGUAAGUAACAAGACAUGAGAAAAUUACAUAAGAACUUCGGGAACCGUUAAAGUAAUAAUUGAGCAGCCACUCAGAGAAAAUAUAACCUAGCAGUUCUUUUUCUCAUCAAUGAAAGCUGUUCCUGUACAGUCCCAAGUCUGCCUUUGCCACAUAAUUCUGAGUCACAUUAAAAAAAAAAAAUCACUAUCCCCUUUUUGUAACGACAGAAACCAGCUCAGAAGGUGAUUCAUCCUCACAACAUCUCUAUGAAUUCAGUACCUUGGUACCACCGAAGGACAUCCAACAUAAAGAAAAGCUGCAAGUAUACCCCAUAACCAUAGGGGUCUCCCAUCUGAUAGCAAUCUUUUCUGAAGUAUUAAAACAUUGUUAGACUCCUGACCUGUCUCUCACCUGCCUCUUUUCUUCUACCUCAAGCCACUUCAGCUUGCAGUCAGUUGUCUUGGUCCUGCCACUCUCGCACAUGCAUACAGGUACCCAAGAAGGCUAGAAGGCAUCAGACACCCAGACCAGGAGUCACAGGUGGCUGAGAACUGUUAAGUGCUGGAAACUGAACCCUGAUCUUCUGCAAGAGCAGCAAGCAUUCUAAAACCACUGAGCCAUCUCUCCAGCCCCCAUUAAUUGUUUUUAAAUUAUUUUAAAUGACAUUGAAAACUGCUCAUGAUACAAUACAAAAUUAAUAAACGUAUAAAGUAAAAAAGAAUGUAUGACUCAAUUGUUAUAUGUGUGUGGUAUAUUUAAAGAUUCAUUUUGUU